rnacentral:rRNA from 1 species
UACGGAGGGUGCAAGCGUUAUCCGGAUUUACUGGGUUUAAAGGGUGCGUAGGUGGGCCUGUAAGUCAGUGGUGAAAUCUUCAAGCUUAACUUGGAAACUGCCAUUGAUACUAUAGGUCUUGAAUUAUCUGGAGGUAAGCGGAAUAUGUCAUGUAGCGGUGAAAUGCUUAGAGAUGACAUAGAACACCCCUUGCGAAGGCAGCUUACUACGGAUUGAUUGACACUGAGGCACGAAAGCGUGGGGAUCAAACAGG